GGGCCGGUGAUCUAGUUGGCUAUGAUGCCGCCUUCACACGGCGGAUAUCGAGAGUUCGAACAGGUGGGGAUGCGUCCCCCUUGGAACAGGUCUCUCCCGGCCCACCA
rnacentral:tRNA from 1 species